ACCAUACACAUCCUUGAGUGCAGCGUUGAUGAACCCAAAACCCUAAUUUCAGCAGCGCUGUACUCAAUGAUGCCUUUGGUAUUUCAUGUAAUUUUUCUCUUAUUCCUUUUUUUGGUUAUUCCUUUGGCUCUUUUCAAGGGCUUUGGGGCUGAUGGUUAAGACACCCAAGGGGAGAUACGUUAAUGGCGGGAGAAGGAUGAGAUGAUAUGUUGAUGCAUUCACCCCCAACCACUUAUGCCCCAACCCCAUUCCCGUGUGAGAUGGAGAUAUUGUCCAUUGGAAAAAUAUCCUAUACACAGUGCUUGUAGUGUUGAGUACUCGGACGAGCUAUCAACCAUCCGUCCUUAUCUAAGGACGGUCGAGAUGAGACAUUGUCAUGCUUUUAUGUCAAAAGAACGACGACAGACAUCCACCGUCCAUUUGGUAAGUUGAGAAUGGAGGGCCGGUCUGAAUUCCCUGUAUUGUUGUAUGCCCUGUAGGAGUAUACUGUCCAUUUACUUCAUCCCAAAUUUGGGGGAUUUAACUUUUUCAUAGACUAACCUCAAAAAAGAAAUAAUACCCAAGAUUGGAGGA